rnacentral:tRNA from 1 species
GUUCGAGGUAGUCGAGGUCGAGGACCGACUCCUCGACCGAGUCGAGAAAGCGGUCGGCGGUCCAGCGGUCCCACGCGGCGUUCGCGUC